CAUCACACGGUCCAUUAUUAUCCGUCCACACAUUAUACAUCACAUGUAUAAAUAACCAUCAUCAUGUAGGACUAUUAGAUAAUAAUAAAAAUAAUAAUCAACUAAACCUUUUAAUUAAUUAAUAUUUUCUGAAAUCAGGGACAUGUAGGGAAUUUCUCAAUUCCUAAGGGUAUUUUCGUAAUUUGGACAAAAGACAGAAA
rnacentral:lncRNA from 1 species